rnacentral:sRNA from 2 species
CCUCCACAACCCUUUUCAACUCUCUAACUCCAUCUAAGAUCUCUCUUAAACCCCCCUCAACUAGUUGCCUCGCCUCCUCCCUCUUCUCCCUCUCCCUUCUCCAUUCCUCCUCCUUUCUCUCCCACUUCCCCACAGCCUCUCUCUGACUCUGUUCAAAAACUUCCUUCCACCCGUUCAACUCUUCAAUACCCCCUUUAAUCAUCUCAACCUCGCCCUGAGUCACACCAAGUACAUCACCAACCUCCUUCACCCUCGUCUCGAGAUCCGACUUCAAUUCUUCCGUCGUUGUGAUUGCCUUAGCAGAAGAGGAUGCCAGAGUCUCUUCGAGCGCGUCGAGGCGGGAGACGAGGGUGUUGUGUUCGCGUCGGAGUUGGUGUGCCCAGAGGAGAGAAGCGGG